rnacentral:rRNA from 1 species
UACAGAGGUCCCAAGCGUUGUUCGGAUUCACUGGGCGUAAAGGGUGCGUAGGCGGUCGGGUAAGUCUGAUGUGAAAUCUCACAGCUUAACUGUGAGACUGCAUUGGAUACUAUCCGGCUAGAGGAAUGGAGGGGAGACUGGAAUACUUGGUGUAGCAGUGAAAUGCGUAGAUAUCGAGAGGAACACCGGUGGCGAAGGCGGCUUCCUGGACAGUAACUGACGCUGAGACGCGAAAGCGUGGGGAGCAAACAGG